rnacentral:rRNA from 1 species
AUUGAACGCUGGCGGCAGGCCUAACACUUGCAAGUCGAGCGGAUGAAGGGAGCUUGCUCCUGGAUUCAGCGGCGGACGGGUGAGUAAUGCCUAGGAAUCUGCCUGGUAGUGGGGGAUAACGUCCGGAAACGGGCGCUAAUACCGCUUACGUCCUGAGGGAGAAAGUGGGGGAUCUUCGGACCUCACGCUAUCAGAUGAGCCUAGGUCGGAUUAGCUAGUUGGUGGGGUAAAGGCCUACCAAGGCGACGAUCCGUAACUGGUCUGAGAGGAUGAUCAGUCACACUGGAACUGAGACACGGUCCAGACUCCUACGGGAGGCAGCAGUGGGGAAUAUUGGACAAUGGGCGAAAGCCUGAUCCAGCCAUGCCGCGUGUGUGAAGAAGGUCUUCGGAUUGUAAAGCACUUUAAGUUGGGAGGAAGGGCAGUAAGUUAAUACCUUGCUGUUUUGACGUUACCAACAGAAUAAGCACCGGCUAACUUCGU